rnacentral:rRNA from 1 species
GAAAGCGAUGCUAAUACCGAAUGAUAUCUCAAAAACUUCGGUUUUUAAGAUCAAAGGUGGCCGCUCCAUGGAAGCUACUGUUAGGAGAUGAGCCCGCGUACCAUUAGCUUGUUGGUAGGGUAAUGGCCUACCAAGGCAACGAUGGUUAGCUGGUCUGAGAGGAUGAUCAGCCACACUGGAACUGACACACGGUCCAGACUCCUACGGGAGGCAGCAGUGAGGAAUUUUGCGCAAUGGGGGAAACCCUGACGCAGCAACGCCGCGUGAGUGAUGAAGGCUUUCGGGUCGUAAAGCUCUGUCAAGUGGGAAGAACCUGCCCUGUGCUAAUAUCACCGGGCACUGACGGUACCACUGAAGGAAGCACCGGCUAACUCCGUGCCAGCAGCCGCGGUAACACGGGGGGUGCAAGCGUUAUUCGGAAUCACUGGGCGUAAAGAGCGCGUAGGCGGUCUCUUAAGUCANAUGUGAAAGCCCGGGGCUCAACCCCGGAAGUGCAUUUGAAACGGAGGGACUUGAGUAUGGGAGAGGGAAGUGGAAUUCCUGGUGUAGCGGUGAAAUGCGUAGAUAUCAGGAGGAACAC